rnacentral:rRNA from 1 species
AAUGAACGCUGGCGGCGCGCCUAAUACAUGCAAGUCGAGCGAGAAGACGUAGCAAUACGUUUGUAAAGCGGCGAACGGGUGAGGAAUACAUGGGUAACCUACCCUCGAGUGGGGAAUAACUAGCCGAAAGGUUAGCUAAUACCGCGUACGCUCCUUGGACUUCGGUUCAGGGAGGAAAGCGAUACCGUGGUAUCGCGCUCUUGGUUGGGCUCAUGUCCUAUCAGCUUGUUGGUGAGGAACGGCUCACCAAGGCUUCGACGGGUAGCUGGUCUGAGAGGACGAUCAGCCACACUGGCACUGCGACACGGGCCAGACUCC